UAAGUUGGUAGUGAAUCCUGGGGCUCAACCCUUUAACAUUAUCAAACUGCUCAGCUAGAGGAUGAGAGAGGUCACUGGAAUUACUAGUGUAGGAGUGAAAUCCGUAGAUAUUAGUAGGAACACCGACGGCGUAGGCAGGUGACUGGCUCAUUCCUGACACUAAGGCACGAAAGCGUGGGGAGCGAACUGGAUUAGAUACCCAGGUAGUCCACGCCGUAAACGAUGGAUGCUA
rnacentral:rRNA from 1 species